CAUAACGAAUGUUCUGACUUCCAUCUCUUCUAGAAAUCAGAUAACUCCGUAUAACUAACUUCGAAGUAGCGCUUUUCAGCAGCUUAAAUUUAAUUAUACACUGUAAUGUUAAAAAUGUAAAUCCGACAGAAAAUAUUUUCCUUGUGUAUUCCUUGAAAAUUCCUUCUUUAUUCAGAAUAUACAUAUAUAAUAUAUAUUUUCUUGGGCAAUAAACGUUAUAUGUAUAUAUAAAAAAAAAACACUAAUUUGGAAGAAAAAUCGGUAGAGUUCCAGCACGAAGACGACAAAUGGGUAUGCAACGCGCGAAACCAAAUAAAAGAUACUCGAACCGAAUAGUACGCGGUAGGAUAUCGUUGCAUUCUCACGUACAGACAAUUUGCAUUGCUGUAUGGAGAAGAGUAGCAGACAGAAGAAUACAAAAUAAAAUUUACGUCGUGAUUCGCGUCAAAGGAGAACUGCCUCCUUUUCUUCGUCUCUCUGUUUCAGUAAUAUUUUAUUCGACUGCUAGAUGAGAAAGGAAAUAUUCGCACGAAGGAAAAAUUACAAAUUGUUCGGAAUGAAAAUUCUGGGAAUUAUUUAUGGCCUUGCGCGAACGAUACGUGUUGAAAGGUAUCGCGCGAUACAGAUGGUACAAGGAAACAGACAAAGGGUCCGCACGAGUGGCUUCGCGAGCAAUCCGUCGGCUGUGAAUAAUUCAUAAAUCAAACAAGCUGGUCGAGGUUGGUCAAGGUGAAACUGGCCUCGCUGCUUAUCUGUGUUUCGUCCCCUUUUUAUUUUCUAGAACGACCAAACCGUCGGCGUGCGACGAAAUGGAACACCGCGUUAAUAGUUUCUGAAAUAUUAUUAUGUCUUUCUUAGUAGAAGCGUAAGAUGAUACGUCCAAAGAUGGCGAGUUAAAACAUACACGUAAUAGCGAUGUUGCACGCUAUUGGUCAUUUUGAAAGAAAUUCUCACGAUUGCUUUCAAGCGUGCGGCUACUUGCGUUACCGUCGGAAAGCGCAGUAACGAAAAUCUUAGAAAUGGUCGUACUUUCUUCGAGUGGUACGUCUGAAAGACACACGGAAUUAGAUUUCUGCUAAACUGAAAAGUUUCGACGCAGAUCUUGUUCCCGAUAUAUCAACGGAGACUGCAGCAAAUAAAUAAUACACGGCGUCAUGCGUUGUAUCGAUUUCAUACGUGCGCGAGAAAUAAAGUAACGCUAGUGGUUUCCAAGAUUUUAAUAUACGUUACGUGCAAAGUUUGGUGUUUGUGAAUGUUCGUUCGUGAAAGAAAGGAAAAGUAACGAAAUUGAAUUCUAGAGGCAGAGGAUGAAGUAAAAAGGAAACAACGGAGCUUAUUUCAGAAGAAAGUUUAUCGGAAACUAGAAAUACGGUUUCCCUCUGCUUCACUCAAAUUUGGAAUCAAACCGAUCCUAUCGUAAUCUGACCAAGAUUUUUUUUAUUGAAUUUCCGAUUCGAAUCUUGAGAGCUUCCUGCUUUAAAAAAUUUCUAUCGUUUUCUUUAGUUACAGUUCGAAAGAAUUUUUGUUCAAACGUUGUAUUUAACGGUCACCGAUCCAAAAUUAUUUGCAUCUUCUGCGAGCUUUUGCUUUUCAACGCAAAUACUGGCUUUGCUAGAUGCUCGCGCAACCGCUAAAAUGAAAGCUCUGUUUCAUUUUCUAUUUCGAUGACCACGAUACUUCGCUCAAAGGGUAAACUAUGUAACUGCAAUGAGAGCGAGAGCGAGAAAAGAGAGAGAGAGGGGGAGGGAUAUAAAGAGCGAAAACGAAGCAAAAGAAAAGGAGAGAUAAAAGGAGAAAAUAGAAAUACGCGGUUUACCGUCUCUAUGCGCCGAUAAGCAACGAACCGCGCACUUUAUUAAAAUUCCUUCGAUACGAAAGUCAUGUAUACCUGCAAUUCGAAUUGAUAUCGAGUUUCACGAUAUUUCUAGCGACCGCGACUAGUCGGAUUUCGCAAACAGACCGCGUUUCGAAAUAACGUACGGAAAGGAAAAUAUCCCACGAGCGAAUUUUCGACAAAUAUACUGUACGUAUACCGAGCUGAUGCUCGGAUCCUCGUCGCAACGAACAAAGUAUGUAUUCUGUCGCAUCUCGUUUUCCAUUUGCAAGAUGUACUUAGCGAGAAAUUACAUAUAUAUAUUCGAUAUAUAUAUAUCGAAUCGAGAAUCGAUUUUCUAAAUUACCGUCCUUCUCUCGUGAUCUAACCUAUUCAGUAAAAUGGCUGCCGGUGAAACAAAGCAAAAGUAAAUAUGUCGAUUAGCAGAUAGUUUGAAUUCUAUAGAAUUUACACCUACCCUCCUUGUGUUGAAAAUUCCAGUGGAAAAAUGUAAUUCACUUCGUCUUCUGGUUUUAUUAUAAAUUCUACACAUUCUAUUCUUUCACCUUUUGUGUUUUCGUUCAUGGAGGAUAACCUUCAACGGCAUGGCGUAGAGAAAAUCGAUUUGUAAUAACCUAAAUCCUUGAGAAAUUUGGUGUGUUCUACCAACCAAAAGAUGGAUACUCCUACGCGUGGCGAAGUGUCUGAAAGCAGUAAGAAUCGGGUAAGGGUUUGCGACUGCAGAAAUCUUUAAAUUCUUGCUAGUCGAGGGGUUGGUCUUUCUAAAAUCCUAUUGACGACUUCUCAUUCGACCCGUGAAUAAUUCAUCCUGAGCCGAACUUCCAAUGGUAACCCAGUGGGGAGAGGAAUCAUGGAUGAAAUCGAAGGAAAGGAUUAACCUGCUGUUCUUUUGUUCGAUUUUGCGAGAGAAAUUCGUCUCUCGUCGUACAAAACGACUACGAGAACGAAUAUAAAGUAGUUGCCUGAAUAUCGUGCAUUUUUAAUUUACCGUUUGAAACAUUAAAUUCUCUUCGUUAAUCGACAGCGAUGCUACUCGUGCUUCAACUCGUUACUGCGAGGUAAUUGUAUCGAAGCUUUUGUUCGUUUACUACAUCGUUAGGGUCGGUUUGAAAGAUGGUGGAAGGAAAAGGAAAGGUGAUUAAACUUCGAAGCUUUGUCAAGUUCGAUCGAUUUAUCGAUCGGUAUGUCAGAAGUCGGCCAAGCAGAGCACUUCCAUUAAAUUUCGUUUCCUCUUUCUUUUCCAGCUAUUCAUCCGGAUGAUAAAGUUUUUAAGCGUUCCGAAAGCCUUGAAAUACUAGCGGUGAAAAAAGGGAUUGAUCGUUCGAGAUUUAUGAAUCGCGUCCCCCCGAGACUACUUUCAACUUCGAUGAGACGAACAAUCGUAAUAUAAGUCGUUAACAAGUCGAGCACAAGACCGAAGAAGAUUGGUUGCAAGAGAAACGUUAUCUUGUUUUUCCAUUGCUUAAAGGUUUCGAAGAAAAGGAAUAAUUAGUUUUCGGUCAUUCUGUACAGAAGUAUCGAGUAUUGAAAGGGCAAAGAAAAUUACAUUGGCUGAUUGCACGCGAUUCGAGCGGUGUAGCAAAGUUUUUGCGGUCAGAGACUCGGUUGAAAUUGAUUUGAGGUCGAAUCUCACUAUAUCUAAAGUUUGUCGCUCGAAAAGCACACAAGCUCGAAGUUCAGCGGCAUCGACAGACCUCUGUUGCUCUAUUUACAUCUACAAAGUUUUAGAGUUGCCGGUUCAACAGUAGCCAACCGAUUUAUCAAUAUCCGAUACAAAUCGGAGAUGCUGAAUUGCGUUAAGGUCUCGACCAAAUCGACUGGCCAUUUCGGGAAUCAAAAUUUCGAUCAACAAAAACAAACAAAAAAUUUUGUCUAAAGCUUAUGCAAAUUGCUGAAAUUUAUUAUCAAAUUACCAUUUAAUAAAAGUUUCAUUUCACCAAGAACAGACAUCAAGUGGCCAACAAGAUUAUGUGAUUUAAUAUGUUAUACUCAUUUUUAGGAGGAUUUUUGGAAAGUAAGUCAAUAGCCCAGUGACGGUUGAAAAACAAUCUAAGCCACUCUAUUGAUAUAGAAAAUGUAGAAAAUUGAGUCAAACGAGACAGACGAUAGAAUGAUAUCACGUUGCAUAAUUAGUGUCAUGAAGUAAAUCUUAUGUUAAAAUAAACAAACCAGACAAAUUUCAAGUAAUUUAUAUUUUAUUUCAAUCCUUUAUAUCCCACUUAUUCUUAAGAAAUGUGUAAAUAGAAAUUUCAACUGUGGCAGCUUCAACGUUACAUUUCACGUUUUCUUUUUCUUUCUUUCAUUUCUUUUCGUUUCUUUUGUUCUCAUUUUCUGUGAAAUCUGAUAGUUCUUUUUAAUUGCCCAACUUUUUGUCUGCUCGGAAUUGCACCGACAAAGGAUGAAAAGAAUUUAUGAAAAUCCGUAGAAAUUCAGAGGACCUGCCCAUCUUAAUCCUCUGUCGCGUUUGAAACAGUCACCAUCUUUGUUGUCUCGUUAUCAUAACCUCUCAGGGCUAUACAUAGCUCUUCAGCAAAACGGUUUGCCGUUAAACCGAAGAGAAGAUAUACAAUGAAAUAUGCAUAGCACUUUGCACGAGGAAAGAAAAAAGCAGGGAGAACGAGGUGCAAUUACGAUUUCUUAAAAAUGUAGGGCAGGACUGUCCUUUAUCAGGAUAGAAGUUUGCUCGGACAAUAGAGCCAGCGUUGAAUUCUAUCCUACCUUGGUCUCUGUACCCGUCUAUUCACCGAGGAUACCUACCGUGGUAAUUAACAGUCACAAAAAACGUGGCGAACAGGACUAAUUUAUUUUUUAGAAUGCAACGAAUUUCAGCACUCCCCUUUCGACUAAUCCAACUGUAGCGGCACUCGAGAACAAAACUUUCCAACGGUUUCGUCGGUACAAAGUAUAUCACCGAAGCGUACGGCUGGCAGUCCUAAUGCGCCAUCGAUAUUUCUACGGUCCUUCCGUCGAAUAUUUCGAAGAAGGCAACAUGGCAACGGUCGCGGACGCCUAACGAACGCGUGCGUAGUGGGGAUAUUGGGCGAUAAAAACAAACGAAUCGGAUUAAGAAAACAGUCGAGUUGUAACCGAGAAGCGAGAAAUGUCAGUUGGAAUCGAGAAUUGUACGAAAACAGUCGAAAACGAGGAUUGUUAAUAAAUAUACUGUUGAACACUAAACGGAAAGAGGUGAACGUGUUUGUGCCACAUAAAGACAUCGUGUCCGUAAAAUCAAGAGUGUUCGUAAUGGCUAACCACACGAGAAAAGGCGCGCAACGAACGCCACAGACCGCGGAGACAUAACCUUUUGUUGACAAUUUCUACGAAAAAUUCGAUGCUCCAUGGCACGUGCGAAUACUAGUACAUUUCUUACUAUUAAUUUGCCGGAUGAUUAAUUAGUCAAGAAAAGAUAAAUUUUCUAACCUGACAUUGAAACAUAUUAAUUAUAAAAGUAAAUGCUACAACAGUUGGACAAUGAAUCUUGAAAAUAUCCUUCAUCUAUGCAUAAUAAUGAUUUAUACAUAAUAUAUUAAAGAUUCCAAGGGAUAAAAGGAAGAUAGAAAGAAUAAUGGAAGAGAAAGAUGAAGAAGAAAUGGCGAAAGAAACAGCACAGAUUAAAUGGUGCAAUAAGCACACGAUUAGCAAAAGGAGUGGCUGGUGGAAAUAAUUUUAGAAUAACACGAAUUUCUAGCAUAGACUCUUAGUACAGUGACAAGUAGUUAGCAUAGCGCAAGAAUAAAGUAUGAAAAGAUGCGUGCGGAAGUAGGAUAAGAAAGUGUGGUUAGAAAAAUUGUAACUAUCAUUUUUUUUGC